AACCUUUACAAUGCACGAAAGUGUGAUAAGGGAAUCCCGAGUGCCUUGCUUUUAGUAAGGCUUUUGCUAAGAGUAAAAACCUUAGCGAAUAAGUGGUGGGCAAGACUUGUGCCAGCCGCCGCGGUAACACCAGCGCCACAAGUGGCAACCGCUUUUAUUGGGCCUAAAGCGUCCGUAGCUGGUUCAGUAAAUUUCCUGUGAAAUUGUUAGGCUUAACCUAACAUCAUGCAGGAAAGACUACUGAACUUGGGACCGGGAGGCGUCAGAGGUAUUCUUGAGGGAGCGGUAAAAUGCUAUAAUCUCAGGAGGACCACCGAUGGCGAAGGCAUCUGACGAGAACGGAUCCGACGGUGAGGGACGAAAGCUAGGGGAGCAAACCGG
rnacentral:rRNA from 1 species